rnacentral:rRNA from 1 species
UACGUAGGGUGCAAGCGUUGAUCGGAAUUACUGGGCGUAAAGCGUGCGUAGGCGGUUUUGCAAGGCAGAUGUGAAAUCCCCGGGCUCAACCUGGGAACGGCAUUUGAAACUGUUUGUCUUGAGGGUAGACGGAGAGAACGGAAUUCCACGUGUAGCGGUGAAAUGCGUAGAUAUGUGGAAGAACACCAGUGGCGAAAGCGGUUCUCUAGUUUAUUACUGACGCUGAGUCACGAGAGCAUGGGGAGCAAACAGG